GGGACGGCGCGGCUUCAUCGUUCGAGUCGUUCCGGAUUUCGGAUUUCUGGCUGCGCUCGUCGCCGCCAAUCGGUUUUUGCCCUCGGUGGUCGCCGUCCGACGGCGGCAUUUUGCCCAGCGGUUCAAGAUGAUUCCUGGUAUAUAUAUACAUAUUCCUCAAAUCAACGACGUUUUGACUUUGGCUUGUCUCACACGCAGUCAUGACGGCCCGC
ensembl:ncRNA F26A10.9 ncRNA